UGAGGAAUAUUGGACAAUGGGCGAAAGCCUGAUCCAGCAAUACCGCGUGAGUGAAGAAGGCCCUAGGGUUGUAAAGCUCUUUCAGCAGGGAAAAUAAUGAUGGUACCUGCAAAAGAAGUUCCGGCUAACUCCGUGCCAGCAGCCGCGGUAAUACGGAGGGAACUAGCGUUGUUCGGAUUUACUGGGCGUAAAGAGCGCGUAGGCGGUUUAUUAAGUUAGAAGUGAAAGCCUGGAGCUUAACUCCAGAAUUGCUUCUAAAACUAAUAGACUAGAGUGUGGGAGAGGAUAGCGGAAUUCCUAGUGUAGAGGUGAAAUUCUUAGAUAUUAGGAGGAACACCGGUGGCGAAAGCGGCUAUCUGGAACACAACUGACGCUGAGGCGCGAAAGCGUGGGGAGCAAA
rnacentral:rRNA from 1 species